rnacentral:misc_RNA from 1 species
UUAAGUUCAGCGGGUAGUCCUACCUGAUUUGAAAUCAAACGUUCAAAGGGCUGUCCUCACGGAGGAGAGACAUUUGUAAGCUCCAGUGAACCUCCACUGCUGAAGGUUACCCUGGUGGAAAACCACAAGCGUAGAUAGUUAUCACACCUGUGAUGCCCACCAAAAACCGGCAAGCUGAUUCGUUUAAGAGGAGCUGACCA